UAAUGCCGGAUACGAGCUGCGACCGCAUGGUCAGUAGCUGGAAAGAAUUUCGGUCAGGGAUGAGCUCGCGGCCUAUCAGCUUGUUGGUGAGGUAAUGGCUCACCAAGGCGUCGACGGGUAGCCGGCCUGAGAGGGUGACCGGCCACACUGGGACUGAGACACGGCCCAGACUCCUACGGGAGGCAGCAGUGGGGAAUAUUGCACAAUGGGCGAAAGCCUGAUGCAGCAACGCCGCGUGAGGGAUGACGGCCUUCGGGUUGUAAACCUCUUUUAGCAGGGAAGAAGCGAAAGUGACGGUACCUGCAGAAAAAGCGCCGGCUAACUACGUGC
rnacentral:rRNA from 1 species